rnacentral:tRNA from 1 species
GAUUAAGUGGCCGAGUAGAUAACGCGAUAGCGUUUGAAGCGAAAGGUUCUGGAUUCGAGUCCCAGAGUGAAC